AAAAAAGAUAAUCAUCUCAGUAAUAAAAAUCACUUGGAAAGUUUUUUUUUUAUUACUUUCUUGAUGAAAUAAAUUUCAACCUAGCAAUAAAUAGACAGUGUACAUAUUUGAGAUUAAGAUAAAUAUUUCCUGAUUUCUUGAAGUUUGGCAAAAGAAUUUGGAAGUUAUAGAUGUUCGUUGAGCUGGCAAGGCCUCGGGGCAAAACUAAAUUUAAGGACCUUUUUUAUCUUAAUUUUUCUAUUUAAGAAAAUGUAUGGAGAUUUUUUACUUUUGUUUUGACUUUUGUUUUAAGCGAUUAAGCAAAGAGGGACAUGAAACAUUACGUCGGUGGUCGAGGAAGGCAAUUGUCUCAGUUAUCGUUCUAUCAUCUAUCAUUUUAAAAGCA